GGUAACAGAGAGUAGCUUGCUACUUUGCUGACGAGCGGCGGACGGGUGAGUAAUGCUUGGGAACAUGCCUUGAGGUGGGGGACAACAGUUGGAAACGACUGCUAAUACCGCAUAAUGUCUACGGACCAAAGGGGGCUUCGGCUCUCGCCUUUAGAUUGGCCCAAGUGGGAUUAGCUAGUUGGUGAGGUAAUGGCUCACCAAGGCGACGAUCCCUAGCUGGUUUGAGAGGAUGAUCAGCCACACUGGGACUGAGACACGGCCCAGACUCCUACGGGAGGCAGCAGUGGGGAAUAUUGCACAAUGGGCGCAAGCCUGAUGCAGCCAUGCCGCGUGUGUGAAGAAGGCCUUCGGGUUGUAAAGCACUUUCAGUCAGGAGGAAAGGUUGGUGGUUAAUACCUGUUAGCUGUGACGUUACUGACAGAAGAAGCACCGGCUAACUCCGUGCCAGCAGCCGCGGUAAUACGGAGGGUGCGAGCGUUAAUCGGAAUUACUGGGCGUAAAGCGUACGCAGGCGGUUUGUUAAGCGAGAUGUGAAAGCCCCGGGCUCAACCUGGGAACUGCAUUUCGAACUGGCAAACUAGAGUGUGAUAGAGGGUGGUAGAAUUUCAGGUGUAGCGGUGAAAUGCGUAGAGAUCUGAAGGAAUACCGAUGGCGAAGGCAGCCACCUGGGUCAACACUGACGCUCAUGUACGAAAGCGUGGGGAGCAAACGGGAUUAGAU
rnacentral:rRNA from 1 species